rnacentral:rRNA from 1 species
GACCAGACUCCUACGGGAGGCAGCAGUGGGGAAUAUUGCACAAUGGGGGAAACCCUGAUGCAGCGACGCCGCGUGAGCGAUGAAGUAUUUCGGUAUGUAAAGCUCUCUCAGCAGGGAAGAAAAUGACGGUACCUGACUAAGAAGCCCCGGCUAACUACGUGCCAGCAGCCGCGGUAAUACGUAGGGGGCAAGCGUUAUCCGGAUUUACUGGGUGUAAAGGGAGCGUAGACGGCUGUGCAAGCCAGAUGUGAAAGCCCGGGGCUCAACCCCGGGACUGCAUUUGGAACUGUGUGGCUGGAGUGUCGGAGAGGCAGGCGGAAUUCCUAGUGUAGCGGUGAAAUGCGUAGAUAUUAGGAGGAACACCAGUGGCGAAGGCGGCCUGCUGGACGAUGACUGACGUUGAGGCUCGAAAGCGUGGGGAGCAAACAGGAUUAGAUACCCCAGUAA